AGCAGCCGCGGUAAUUCCAGCUCCAAUAGCGUAUAUUAAAGUUGUUGCAGUUAAAAAGCUCGUAGUUGAAUUUCGGGGUUAGUAGGUUGGUCAUGCCUCUGGUAUGUACUGGUUUCACUGAUUCCUCCUUCCUGAUGAGCCGUAAUGCCAUUAAUUUGGUGUUGCGGGGAAUUUGGACUGUUACUUUGAAAAAAUUAGAGUGUUUAAAGCAAGCUAACGCUUGAAUACAUUAGCAUGGAAUAAUGAAAUAAGACGUUCGAUCCUAUUUUGUUGGUUUCUAGGAUUGACGUAAUGAUUAAUAGGGAUAGUUGGGGGCAUUAGUAUUCAAUUGUCAGAGGUGAAAUUCUUGGAUUUAUUGAAGACUAACUACUGCGAAAGCAUUUGCCAAGGAUGUUUUCGUUAAU
rnacentral:rRNA from 1 species